GUAGGUGAACCUGCGGAAGGAUCAUUAACACGUAUACACGUAUCAACACUCUGUGAACAUAAUCUCCCUAACGUUGAACAGCUGUUAAUAGGAUUAGUGGUGGGUAUGGCAAUCUCAACAAUUGUUAUACAAUUCUAUUAACUAGGGUUUCGAACCCAGUGCUUUCUCUGUUAGGCAAUAAAACCUUCCAUCACUGUUCAACACAAACCAUUUUCACUAUAUAACUCAACUUGACUGAUGUACUUAUGUAAGAGAAAUCUGGCAUAAGCAAGUUAUUCUAAACUAAGCACAACUCUUAGCAAUGGAUAUCUUGGUUCUC
rnacentral:misc_RNA from 1 species